rnacentral:lncRNA from 1 species
AUGACAUGUUUGGAAACAGAGGCUUUGCCGAUGUCAUCAGUUAAAGUGAGGUCUCGCUGGCUUAGCGUGGGCCCCUAUCCAAUGCCUGGUGUCCCUGUAAGGAGGGGACACCCAGAGGGAAAGGCCAGGAGGCACAGAGGCGGAGAGCAGAGGGAUGCAGGUGCAAGACAGGCCUGUGAGGGAUUCUGGCCACCGCAGGAGCUGGAGGUGGCAGGAAAGAUGCCCCCAGGGGGAGACGGCCCUGCAGGCCCUGCUCAGGACCGCUGGCCUCCAGAGCGACAAGUUCUGUGGCUUUCAGCCCCCCCGUGGUGCUCUGUUACUGCAGCCACCAGAAGCCCACACAUCCAGACGUGGCCCAUGGGUGGGGUUCAGGCCACUUUAGUUACAGAGACACUGGGGAGAUGGGAGGCCCUGGUCACAGCCGAAAGGAAAAUGCAGCAUGAGCCGGUGCUUCUGGGCGGAGCCCGUGUGUCCCCUCAGGCCUGUGGCUGCCGGGCUCCAGGGUCCCGGCACCUGAUCCCACAUAGCUCCAGCUCGCACUGGAGCUGCCCCUUCCAGGCCUGCAGACCUGGGUGGCCAGGUACAGGUCAGGGGCAGGUGUGUCCGGGCGCUCACUGGUGGCCUCGCUCUCACAGUGUGUCCUGGUGGCCUCAGGGGGCCGUGAGGUCAGGGCUUUCUCCGGAGGCACAGCAAGUCCUGAGCGUGCCAAACCGCAGGCCAUGCACACGGGGUCAGCGGGGUUGCAACCAUAACGCGGGGUUCCGAUCUUGCCCCCGAGAAGGUCUGGAUACAUUUUUCCUGAAAAAUCAAACAACCCGUUAUUCCAGUGUCUUCAGAACCCCUGCUUUGAGGACUCCUCGGCCAGGGAGUCUGCCUUUUGAGACUAGGCACUGGACUCCAAGCAGAAGGCCCCACACCCACAGAAAGAAGGAUGGGGCAGGGGCUGCCUGGGGCAGAGAUUGUUCUGAAAGGCCUGGAGGUGGGGGCGCAGCGGGAAGAGCCCUGAGUUCUCAGUCUGUCCCAGUAGAAGCAGGCCCACCCCAGGCAGCAGAGUGCGAGGCCGCAGGCUAG